rnacentral:lncRNA from 1 species
ACUCAUAAAAUAAAUAACCAAAUCCUAAUAUACUAAUGAAAUCCUUGACCCAAUUGUACUAGGGUAAGGUUACAAAAUUAUAAUCCAAAUAGAAUGAUGAAACACAUAACCUAAUUGCACUAGGUUAAUGUAUUAUGGCAAAAAUCCAGCUUUGUGUCUGUAAGUCCCAAAGUCUUCAGAAAUGCUGUUUUAGCCCGGGAC